rnacentral:sRNA from 1 species
UUCCGUACGGUGACCUGCGGAAGGAUCAUUAUUGAUUGGUCGAAAGACCUUAUCAGAUUCUACCACCUCUGUGAACCGUUGACCUCCGGGUUAAUAAUCAAACAUCAGUGUAACGAACGUAAGAGUAUCUUAAUUAAACAAAACUUUUAACAACGGAUCUCUUGGCUCUCGCAUCGAUGAAGAACGCAGCGAAAUGCGAUAAGUAAUGUGAAUUGCAGAAUUCAGUGAAUCAUCGAAUCUUUGAACGCACCUUGCGCCUUUUGGUAUUCCGAAAGGCAUGCCUGUUUCAGUGUCAUGAAAUCUCAAUCUAAUAUGUUUUCUGAACAUGUUAGGCUUGGACUUGGGUGUCUGCCAGCAAUGGCUCACCUCAAAUGACUUAGUGGAACAUCCCACAUCAGUGUUAGACGUAAUAAGUUUCGUCUCUCCUUGUGGUGAUGACUGCUCAAAACCUGCCAUCGCGCACCUUUUGACUUUGACCUGAAAUCAGGUAGGGCUACCCGCUGAACUUAAGCAUAUCAAUAGGCGGAG